rnacentral:rRNA from 1 species
AGAGUUUGAUCCUGGCUCAGAAUGAACGCUGGCGGCGUGCUUAACACAUGCAAGUCGAACGGUAACAGCAGAGCUUGCUCUGGCUGACGAGUGGCGCACGGGUGAGUAACAGAUAGAUAAUGUGCCCCUUAGUCUGGGAUAGCCACUGGAAACGGUGAUUAAUACUAGAUACGCCUCAAUAUUUGAAGAUAUUGAGGGAAAGGUUUUUCGCUAAGGGAUCAGUCUAUCUCCCAUCAGUUAGUUGGUGAGGUAAGAGCUCACCAAGACGAUGACGGGUAGCGGGUUUGAGAGGAUGAUCCGCCACACUGGAACUGAGACACGGUCCAGACUCCUACGGGAGGCAGCAGUGAGGAAUAUUGCACAAUGGGGGGAACCCUGAUGCAGCAACGCCGCGUGGAGGAUGACGCAUUUCGGUGUGUAAACUCCUUUUAUCAGAGAAGAAGAUGACGGUAUCUGAUGAAUAAGCUCCGGCUAACUCCGUGCCAGCAGCCGCGGUAAUACGGAGGGAGCAAGCGUUAUUCGGAAUCACUGGGCGUAAAGGACGCGUAGGCGGGUUUGUAAGUCAGGUGUGAAAUCCUACAGCUCAACUGUAGAACGGCACUUGAAACUACAGACCUAGAGUAUGGAAGGGGCAGAUGGAAUUAGUGGUGUAGGGGUAAAAUCCGUAGAUAUCACUAGGAAUACCGAAAGCGAAGGCGAUCUGCUGGGACAUUACUGACGCUGAGGCGUGAAAGCGUGGGGAGCAAACAGGAUUAGAUACCCUGGUAGUCCACGCCCUAAACGAUGAACACUAGUCGUCGGGGUACAAGUUACUUCGGUGAUGCACUUAACAGAUUAAGUGUUCCGCCUGGGGAGUACGGUCGCAAGAUUAAAACUCAAAGGAAUAGACGGGGACCCGCACAAGUGGUGGAGCAUGUGGUUUAAUUCGAAGAUACGCGAAGAACCUUA